UACGUAGGGGGCAAGCGUUGUCCGGAAUCAUUGGGCGUAAAGAGCGUGUAGGCGGUCCGGUAAGUCGGCUGUGAAAGCCCAGGGCUCAACCCUGGGAUGCCGGUCGAUACUGCCGGACUAGAGUUCGGAAGAGGCGAGUGGAAUUCCCGGUGUAGCGGUGAAAUGCGCAGAUAUCGGGAGGAACACCUAUGGCGAAGGCAGCUCGCUGGGACGUUACUGACGCUGAGACACGAAAGCGUGGGGAGCAAACAGG
rnacentral:rRNA from 1 species